UUGUGAUAAUAAUGAUGCCAUAGCACUUGCUAAGGAAUCGAGAUCUCAUCAAAAAUUCAAGCACAUAGAGUGAUGAUUCCAUCUCAUUCAUGAACACCUCGAGAAGAAGUUCAUCAAGGUGCAGAGAGUCGACUCCAUAAAAAAUAUGGCUGACCCACUGACCAAGUCGCUGAGCCAAAAGAAAAUUGAAGCUCAUCUUAAGAAGAUGGGGUUUAGGUUUAUGGCCAAUUGACUUUAGAUCAAAUAGAAGUUUGUUAGAUGUAUGUCCUAAAAGUCAGAUUGACUGAUAC
rnacentral:lncRNA from 1 species